rnacentral:rRNA from 1 species
GAUGAACGCUGGCGGCGUGCUUAACACAUGCAAGUCGAACGAAACAUUUAAAUCAGACUUCUUCGGAAAGAAGAUUUACUUAGUUUAGUGGCGGACGGGUGAGUAACGCGUGGGCAACCUGCCUCAUACAGGGGGAUAACAGUUAGAAAUGACUGCUAAUACCGCAUAAGCGCACAGUAUCGCAUGAUACGGUGCGAAAAAUCACAGUGGUAUGAGAUGGGCCCGCGUCUGAUUAGCUAGUUGGUAAGGUAAUGGCUUACCAAGGCGACGAUCAGUAGCCGGCUUGAGAGAGUGAACGGCCACAUUGGGACUGAGACACGGCCCAAACUCCUACGGGAGGCAG